GAUGAACGCUAGCGGCAGGCUUAAUACAUGCAAGUCGUGGGGCAGCAGGUUUGUAGCAAUACAGAUGCUGGCGACCGGCAAACGGGUGCGGAACACGUACAGAACCUUCCUUUGAGCGGGGAAUAGCCCAGAGAAAUUUGGAUUAAUACCCCAUAGUAUAAUGAAGUGGCAUCACUUUAUUAUUAAAGAUUUAUCACUCGAAGAUGGCUGUGCGGCUGAUUAGGUAGUUGGCGGGGUAAAGGCCCACCAAGCCUGCGAUCAGUAACUGGUGUGAGAGCACGACCAGUCACACGGGCACUGAGACACGGGCCCGACUCCUACGGGAGGCAGCAGUAAGGAAUAUUGGUCAAUGGAGGCAACUCUGAACCAGCCAUGCCGCGUGGAGGAUGAAGGUCCUCUGGAUUGUAAACUUCUUUUAUAUGGGACGAAAAAGGCUUUUCUAAGUCGUCUGACGGUACCAUAUGAAUA
rnacentral:rRNA from 1 species